CACCGGCAGUUUAUAUAUUUGUCUAUAUCUAGGGUCACAAAAGUAGCGAGUGACAUGACCAGGGCUUGAACACACUUCCUGACUCCUAGUAGUCUCUACCUCAUAUCAGGUCACCCCUACUAAGCCCAGGACUGUGGAUUAUUUUAUUUGCUGACCUUCCUGGGAAUUUAUUGAGUGCCCAUCCUCACAGGAAGGAGUAAACCUCCAAGAAUUGGCUGCCAUUGAUUGGAUUCCAUUCUUUAAGUAAAUCAUGCCCUCAAGCCACUGACUUCUUGGAUUAUAAAAUGAUUUUUAAACUCUGGGCUUAGUCCUUCAGGUACCCUUGAGGGGUUAGAAAGAACUAUAAACCCCAAGAUAGAAACAUAAGGUAGUAUUCCGUAAGUGCUGGGAUGCUCUCCCUUUUGUUUGCCAUUUAAUCCCCACAGAAAGAAUGAUGAUGCAUGCAUGAUUCCAUUCUGUUGCCAUAGAGAUGUACUUUAAGUUCUGAAUUCUAGGUGAUUGUGAAGCGCAGCCCAGAAUUAUUUUGCUGGUUCUGCCUUCAAAGAACUUCCCGUCCACAGGCAAGUGAGGAGCUGUUUCUUGACUUCUGUUGGAAAGCCGUCUGCCACUUUGGGGGUCUCAGGUGGUACAUGGCUCUGUCUUCUCAUACUCCCUCAGCUACUGCUACCUGUAGCUGUUCCUACCUACAGUGGCCCCUGAGGACUUAAACAAUUUUUUCUGACAUAUAUUUAGUGGUACUGCUGGGAAAUGGAAUAAGAUCUGGAAGUUUGUAAGCUGAGGGCAAGCCCAGGUCAUCCUAAAAACCUCGCUAAGUUUAUGGUUCUUUAUUAUUUCAGGUCAGAAAAUUAAUUGUUUUGGAUCCAAAGAAACGGCUGACUACCUUUCAAGCUCUCCAGCAUCCGUGGGUCACAGGUAAAGCAGCCAAUUUUGUACACAUGGAUACCGCUCAAAAGAAGCUCCAAGAAUUCAAUGCCCGGCGUAAGCUUAAGGCAGCGGUGAAGGCUGUGGUGGCCUCUUCCCGCCUGGGAAGUGCCAGCAGCAGCCAUGGCAGCAUCCAGGAGAGCCACAAGGCUAGCCGAGACCCUUCUCCAAUUCAAGACAGCAACGAGGACAUGAAAGCUAUUCCAGAAGGAGAGAAAAUUCAAGGCGAUGGGGCCCAAACCGCAGUUAAGGGGGCACAGGCUGAGCUGAUGAAGGUGCAAGCCUUAGAGAAAGUUAAAGGUGCAGAUAUAAAUGCUGAAGAGGCCCCCAAAAUGGUGCCCAAGGUAGUGGAGGAUGGGAUAAAGGUGGCUGACCUGGAACUAGAGGAGGGCCUAGCAGAGGAGAAGCUGAAGACUGUGGAGGAAGCAGCAGCUCCCAGAGAAGGGCAAGGAAGCUCUGUUGUGGGCUUUGAAGUUCCACAGCAAGAUGUGAUCCUGCCAGAGUACUAAACCAGCUUCCUUCAGAUCUGGAAGCCAAACACCGGCAUUUUAUGUACUUUGUCCUUCAACAAGAAAGGUGUGGAAGCAUGAUAUGUACUAUAGUGAUUCUGUUUUUGAGGUGCAAAAAAAAUACAUAUAUACCAGUUGGUAAUUCUAACUUCAAUGCAUGUGACUGCUUUAUGAAAAUAAUAGUGUCUUCUAUGGCAUGUAAUGGAUACCUAAUACCGAUGAGUUAAAUUUUGCAAGUUAACACAACACUUAAAAGCAUACAUUUUCAGCAACCAGUGGCACAUAUUUGAAGUGAAUAAGUAGCAAAUUGUUUUUGCUUUGAAAACCUAGCCAUCCUACAUCCUUUGGAUUUCUUCACAAGGCAGUAAUUCCUUUGAGCUACUGCUUAGCUAAUGCUAGGUAGUGCUAAAAAGACAUGUUCCCAUAACUUUUACAACAUUUUACUUUUUAUCAUUGAUGUGUUCAAACUGUUUACAAAGAGAUGCUUGUAGAUGAUAGUUGUACAUAUGUGCAAAAAAAAUUCCCCUUGGAAUGGUAAGAAAUUGAAGUAUCCUUAAAGGCCAUGAAGCCAUAUGUCCCUAAAGCCUGUGUGGAGAAUGCUUUAUUUUAUUCUUAUUUAUAUACACUAUAUUAAUAAUAACCAAAAUGUUCUAAGAUUCUGCCAUUUUACAACCCUGGAGGAAGUAAUUUACAAACUCAUGCUGAGUUCCAUUCUUUCCUUCACCUGCUCUCCAAUAAGAUGACUUUCUGAUAGACAAAGCUUAGGGUGUAAUAAACAGGGAAGAAAAGAAGGUAAGACUGUACUUAAACUGAUGAAGAUAAGAUUGAUUCCUUUUCAUUUUCCAGAUAAAAUUGUAUUUACUCAUGAAUUUAUACAACUUUACAGAUAAGAACAUUUUAAUGGAUAAACUCUAUAAUUACCAAGUUGCAAAUAUUUAGAAAAAUCUAUUUCACAGGUUAGUGCCAAAAUGUCUUCAUAGAGUAGGAAUAAUAUUCCAUUAUAAGAUUAUUCAUCAUUGACUUUAAUAGAGUAAGAAAACAUUAUUCUUUACCAAAGCUCUUUUUUUAUCCAAUUGAUGGUUAUCUACACAUAUCACUUAUAAACUAAAGUUAUUUAUGAAAAGCUA
rnacentral:sRNA from 1 species